GAAGGGUGCAAACGUUAUUCGGAAUUACUGGGCGUAAAGAGCGUGUAGACGGUUUAUUAAGCUUGUUGUUAAAUUUCUCGGCCCAACCGAGAGUAAGCGGUGAGAACUGAUAAACUAGAGGAUAAGAGAGAGAAGUGGAAUUCUCGGAGUAGCGGUAAAAUGCGUAGAUCUCGAGAGGAACACCGAUGGCGAAGGCAGCUUCUUGGCUUAUUCCUGACGUUGAGACGCGAAAGCGUGGGGAGCAAACAGGAUUAGAUACCCUGGUAGUCCACGCUGUAAACUAUAAUCACUAGAUGUCGGUUCGGCUUUGCUGGAUCGGUAUCGAAGCUAACGCGUUAAGUGAUUCGCCUGGGGACUACGAUCGCAAGAUUA
rnacentral:rRNA from 1 species